rnacentral:rRNA from 1 species
AGAGUUUGAUCCUGGCUCAGAGUGAACGCUGGCGGCAUGCCUAACACAUGCAAGUCGAACGGUAACAGGCCCGCAAGGGUGCUGACGAGUGGCGGACGGGUGAGGAAUACAUCGGAAUUUGCCCAGUCGUGGGGGAUAACGUAGGGAAACUUACGCUAAUACCGCAUACGACCUUUUGGUGAAAGCGGGGGAUCAGCAAUGACCUCGCGCGGAUGGAUAAGCCGAUGUCGGAUUAGCUAGUUGGCGGGGUAAGAGCCCACCAAGGCGACGAUCCGUAGCUGGUCUGAGAGGAUGAUCAGCCACACUGGGACUGAGACACGGCCCAGACUCCUACGGGAGGCAGCAGUGGGGAAUAUUGGACAAUGGGGGCAACCCUGAUCCAGCAAUGCCGCGUGUGUGAAGAAGGCCUUCGGGUUGUAAAGCACUUUUAUCCGGAACGAAACGCGCAGGGUGAAUAUCCUUGCGAACUGACGGUACCGGAGGAAUAAGCACCGGCUAACUUCGUGCCAGCAGCCGCGGUAAUACGAAGGGUGCAAGCGUUACUCGGAAUUACUGGGCGUAAAGGGUGCGUAGGUGGUUUUUUAAGUCCGUUGUGAAAUCCCUGGGCUCAACCUGGGAAUGGCAGUGGAUACUGGAAAGCUAGAGUGCGGUAGAGGGUAGUGGAAUUCCCGGUGUAGCAGUGAAAUGCGUAGAUAUCGGAAGGAACACCAGUGGCGAAAGCGACUUCCUGGUCGAAUACUGACGUUCAUGUGCGAAAGCGUGGGGAGCAAACAGGAUUAGAUACCCUAGUAGUCC